AGGACGAACGCUGGCGGCGUGCUUAACACAUGCAAGUCACGGGGGCCCGCAAGGGCAACCGGCGAACGGGUGCGUAACACGUGAGCAACCUGCCUAGAUGUGGGGGAUAGCCGGCCCAACGGCCGGGUAAUACCGCAUACGGUCACGAGGAGGAGUCUCCUUGUGAAGAAACCUCCGGGGCAUUUAGAGGGGCUCGCGGCCUAUCAGCUAGUUGGCGGGGUAAUGGCCCACCAAGGCUUCGACGGGUAGCUGGUCUGAGAGGAUGGCCAGCCACAUUGGGACUGAGAGACGGCCCAGACUCCUACGGGAGGCAGCAGUGGGGAAUCUUGCGCAAUGGCCGAAAGGCUGACGCAGCGACGCCGCGUGUGGGAGGACGCCCUUCGGGGUGUAAACCACUGUUGCCCGGGACGAACAUCCACUUUCGAGUGGACUGACGGUACCGGGUGAGGAAGCACCGGCUAACUCCGUGCCAGCAGCCGC
rnacentral:rRNA from 1 species